CCUACGAGCGGCUGCAGUGGGGAAUAUUGCACAAUGGGGGAAACCCUGAUGCAGCGACGCCGCGUGAGGGAAGAAGUAUUUCGGUAUGUAAAGCUCUAUCAGCAGGGGAGAAAAUGACGGUACCCGAUGAAGAAGCCCCGGCUAACUACGUGCCAGCAGCCGCGGUAAUACGUAGGGGGCAAGCGUUAUGCGGAUUUACUGGGUGUAAAGGGAGCGUAGACGGCAGGACAAGUCUGGAGUGAAAUGCCGGGGCUUAACCCCGGAAUUGCGUUGGAAACUGUGCAGCUAGAGUGCCGGGGAGGUAAGUGGAAUUCCUAGUGUAGCGGUGAAAUGCGUAGAUAUUAGGAGGAACCCCAGUGGCGAAGGCGGCUUACUGGACUGUAACUGACGUUGAGGCUCGAAAGCGUGGGUAGCAAACAGGAUUAGAUACCCCAGUAGUC
rnacentral:rRNA from 1 species